rnacentral:lncRNA from 1 species
AAUGCCUUCAAGGAACUCUUGAGGGGAAGAUGGGGGCAUUAUUAGUUGGAUAGCUAAGCUAUUCAGAAAGAUACACAUUGUAAGGGCAUCUGGAGAAAAACAGCAUAUUUUGAUAUUAAGUGUUCUAAGGCAGCCUAGGUAGAAGAUAGGCCUUAGCUUUAAUAUGUUCUGUCCAUGUGGGCCUUUGAGAUUGGUUGCUUUCAGCAGCUACAAUCCGGGGGCUAGCCAACUGGAGUAGUUGCUGGGGUCUCAGUCGGCAAUGUUCCACUAACCUACACUAGCAGAGCUUGACCCCAGCAAUGAUUACAUAAUCACAAGGAUAGUCUUUUUGUCUCUUAGUGCAUUGAAAGGAUGCCGAGACACUGGUGUGUGCAUUGAUUUUCACGCAGACCCAGACAUUAAACUGUAAAGGUAGCAAAUUCCUCUUUAGUAAUAAAUCAUUAGUGUGUGAGGAUCUAGCUUUUAAUUUUUAAAUUCCAGAUGUAAGAACCAACAUAGGUAGCAAAAUAUCAGCUGUAAAAGACCUGUGUCUUGCCAUUUUGUUUGGAAUUACAUAGAGCUCCCAGGAGAGAACUGAGGUGGGCUAACCUCUCAGGUCUAUGUGGCUUGUCUAGAAGCUCAGAAGACCAGCUCCCAUAACUAUGGCUCUGUAGAUUCAUUAAUCAUGUAUACUAUGUCCAAGACUUUUGGUUUUCCAGAAUCCAAACUGUGGCUCAACCAUAGAGGAAUGCUUGCUUUUAUUAAUGAACAGUGAAAGUGAAAUGGGAACCUAUUACUUUAGAAAUAUAGCUCCCACUUGGACAGGUGGAAGGAAAAUUGAAUGAGAUCAUCAUAACACCAAAGGCCAAAAUUUACUAGGGAGAGUAUACCUGGAAGUCUUAUUCUACUAAAUCAAGUUGAUGGAGAAGUUUGAGGACUUGAGAUGGAGAGAAAUUUCAGCAUGUUUUAGACAAAAGAAUUAUGGUUCAGGAAGUGAUUUCAGCCCUGUUAUCAGCAGAUAAUACUAACUGGAGAAGUAUUAAGGGAUUUAGGAAGACAGAAAUCUACUAAAGAGGAAACAUGAUGUCUUAAAGGCCAAACUGGACUUACACAAAAGAGAAAUGGAUCUAAGUGCUCUUAAAGAUAGGGCUAUACAGAAGGGAGAUAUUUUAGUCAUUAUUGGAUAAGAAUGAGUGUCCAGAGGAAGUACAGAUAGGAGAGCAGAGAGAACAGAGCAAUGUGACUCCCCCCAUAGAAAAGGUACUGAGAUCCAGGAAGUGUUUAAGAAGCAUGCUAUAAAAUUGCAGACAGUUCUUCAUGAGAUCAGUUGGGAGCCAUUCUCUUGAAGGCUGCCACAGCUAUUCAAAGUAGAUACAUAAAAUAUAGACAGAUUUAAGAAUUAAAUUCUGAGAAGAUCAAGGUAGAAAAUUUGAAGCAUUAUUUGGUGAGUUUCAAGGUGCCACUACUAAUAUUGAUGGGCCCUGAGUGAACACGCUCAAGAAACAUGAAGAUGUAGAGUUUGGAGGAAAGAUGAGACAAAGGGGUAUUCACGUAGGACAGUAGCAUAAACAGUCCAAACUUGGGAUGAAGUGAAAUGAGGAAAGACUCAUCCUUCAGUGAGGAUUAUCCAACUCAAGGACAUAAAUGUAGGUAAGAUUUGCCUUGACUAAAGUAUCUUCUUGGAAGGUUCAUAACUCCUUGAUUUUACUUCUAGCACAUAAUACAGAACACAGAAGGUAAUAUUAGGAAAACUAAUGUCUGGGUCAGAAAGCAUAGGGAAAAAGAAGCAAACAAAUAAAAACCACUCUAAGAUCCAUAAAAUAGUGAGAAAAAGAAGGGACCACUUGAAGAAACUAGUCAAAAUGUUAACAAAAACAAGGGUCCCUGGGUGGCUAGGUUGGUAGAGUAUCUGACUCUUGAUUUUGGCUCAGGUCAUGAUCUCACAGUUUGUGAGUUUGAGCCCCACAUCAGGCUCUGCACUGACAACAUGGAGCCUGCUUAGGAUUCUCUCUUCCUUUCCUUCUCUGCCCUUCCUUUGCUCAGUUUCUCUCCCUCUCUCUCAAAAUAAAUAAAUAAACAUUUAAAAAACAAAACCAAAACAAAACAAAGACUCAGUUGAGUCUUCUUACUGAAGAAAAAAAGAAAACAAUUAAAGAGGUUUUAAACAUGCAGGCAGAAAAAUAGAGAACCUAAAACAAAACCUAGGUACAGAGAAGGUGACCACUGCAAAUCCCUAAACUUUUGAAAAGACAGGUAUGUUUUAAAUGCCACUCACUGAAGGCAAGGAUAGUGCAUGCAAACAGAUUCCUCCCCCCAACCUAGGGUUCACCGUUUCUAUUAUUAUUUAAAAAAAUUUUUUAAACGUUUAUUUAUUAUUGAGAGACAGAGAGACGCAGAGUGUGAGCAGGGGAUGGAUAGAGAGAGGGGGAGACACAGAAUCUGAAAUAGGCUCCAGGCUCUGAGCUGUCAGCACAGAGCCCGACGCAGGGCUCAAACUCACAGACUGUGAGAUCAUGACCGGAGCUGAAGUCGGUCACCCAACCAACUGAGCCACCCAGGCGCCCCUAGUUUCUAUUAUUACUAACCUUUGAUGGUAACAAGCUCUGUCUGAUGUGGACAACUGCCCCAGACUGACCAGAAUCCUGUUGUAAUUAAAGAUUUUCUCUGCCUAUCUUCCUUCCCUUAGACAUCCCCUAAGUCUCUACUUCAGUCUUGCUAAGAGUAACAUGGGCCUGCAUUAUGCUGAGUCAUUAUGCUUGAGAUAAAUUGACCAUGGAACUGAGGAUUUUCUUGCAUUUUUUAAAUUUAUGAGUGUGAGGUUGGUAUUAUGAUAAUUGCAUGUGUCCUAAUAAGUCUUUGGACACUUUGAUAAAAGGGGAAUAGGGGGACUUUAGGGUAUAUUAAUUAAACUUUGAAAAUGCAUAAGAUUAAGAUCCCUCAAGCUAAGCAGAAUAAGAAUUUGGGAAGGAAAGAAACUGAAACCUUGAUUUCUUUGGAAUUUUGCUGAAGAAUUAUGAAUUUUGAUAUCCUGGACUUUAAUUCACAAAGAAGCUCAGGGGGAUUUAAUAUUUGCUGCUUAAUUUCUCCCCAGAUAUUUGGCAAAUGAGAGGGAUCCACCACAUGGGGUUCAUUGUUUAACCUCUGAUAAAUUCCAUUGAAUAACCUAGCUGGGCCUAAUCUGGUAUGCAAAUUAAAAUGAGCAGUGGGUUUUUGGCUUGAGGUGCAGGAUAGCUUCUAAGAAGAAGAGCCAGACUAUCUGCUCAUAGUCCUAGGAGGCUAACAGAACAGUGAUUGUAUUGGUAUCCUUGCCUCAUGAAGUUGGAAGAAGGACUCCUGCUCCUUGAUAAUGACAACUUGAUUGUUAAGUUCAAAAGGUUAAGAGACCCAAAAUGUGUAGAUACAAGAUAAAUCUUUUCUCUUUCUAGCAUUCUAUUUCUCCUACAAAGCAGGACUUCACCAUUUUGUCAGCAUUGGGAAAAGUAGUUCCUGUCCUUCUCUCUACCUCCUUACUCCUCUCUAAGGGAGGAAAAACUCUUCCAACUGUGAGUUGAGGGGAGAAAGAAGUCAAAAAGCAUGCCCAACUUAGUUCUAAAAGGACCACCCACAGGGUGGGUAUGUUCUUCUCCACAACUCUGUCCAUGAGAUAAGAACACUUGGGUUAGGCCUACUUUCUGAAGGUAGAUCAGAAAUUCUUCUCUUUGUGUACUUUCCAUAUAACUCAGUGGAUUAGAGGCAUUGAUUUUGGGUAAGUGUGUAAGAUUUGCAGAUCUAUCUCUCCUUUGAGGUGUCAUCCCAAGCUCUAACUUGAGGGAAAAGAAUUAGGAAACUUAAAUGAUAUAAUUUAUCCAAACUGAGUUCUCCAAUCCGGUAGUUAUCAUAAUAAUAUUUAAUGAAUAUUUUGACUUCAUUAUGUCUUUCCUCCUCAAACCCCUCCAAGUUUGGAACUAGUUAAAGGUGUAAGCAAGUAUCAUGCCAGCAAAUAUCAUCCCAGCAAAUGUUAAUGGUUAGUAUUUGUUGAGUACCUGGUAUGUACCAGACACUGUGUUAAAAGUUUUACAGGCAUUGCUUCAUGUAAUCCUCACGACAACUCUGAGAUACGCACUCUUGUUACUCCCACCUGACAGAUAAGGUAAUAAGCUUAGAGAGCUGAAGUGACCCACCCAAAGCCAUAUGCAGCUAGUAACCAUGGCUCUCAAACAUGAAAGUGGAUCCAGCCAGUUGACUGCAUUCCAUCAUAAAUCAUCUCUUAAUAUUUUAGGCAAAGAUGAAAACAAGAGCUCUGGCUUAUCCUUGUUGCAGAAAUUAGAUAAUUAUGGGACCAUCAAUCUGUUGUAAAUACUGUGUAAGCAGAUCGCAUCUGAGAUCUGUCAAACUGAGCUGCUACAAACACUUGACAUAAGAUAAAAGUUAAAUUAUGAUCAGAUGCUUCAGACUUUUAAUUUCUGUGUUCUUUUUUUCAUUUAUGAUACUAAUUUUACAUCUAUGAAUUUUUUUUACAUGAAUUCUGAAGAGUUAAUAUGGCUAGAUCCAGCAUCCAUUUCCAUAAUUCAGCCUCUAACUUCUACUACAAUGUGGGAAUACUUUUAACAUGUAGUAUCAUAGGAAAUUAAUAACAAUAGUAAAUAGUUCCUAACACAAUAUUAUAUAAAAAUGAUUAAAUACAGCCUUCGUAGGUUUCCUUUCAUCUUAAAGAAUUACCCUAAGCAUUCCGUUGGGAUUUUGCCUCAACCAUUGUAUGCCUCAACUCACAUGAGACCAUUUAAUUAUGAUAGUCUAUAAGAUACUAAAACACAGUACCUUUAUAAAUAUCAAUAAUAAAAUAUCCAUCAACAUAAUAUCAAGAAUCAAUUUAAUUUUCUUUUACCAGUUUGAUAAUGAUCUUCACAACUCUAUGCCAAAACUGAGAAGCACUUCAAAUUUUUGCACACAUCACCUCUGAAAGCAAUGAAAGAAUAACAGGCUGCAAGAGCCUGUAACUAGCAUAAUCACAUGAGAAAUAUAUUUUAGGCUUUAAGUAUAUUUAAGGAAAUGCUUCCAAAAUUCUUAUCAUCAAAAUGUAUCCACUAUAAUUCAUGAGUUAAUAAUUACACUUUACUUCAAUAUUAGUGUGUCAUAAAAAUUUCACCUUUGAAAGAAAAUGUUAGAGCUUGUAAAAUGGAAGAAUGUGAAGCUAUCACUCUGAGGUACUCUUCUAUAGGGGGACUUGUUGGUGUUGUAUUUUUACCUCUGAAAUUGGUUUCUCAUAGACAUCUUCUCCUAUAGAUUUCUCCUGGGCUAGGAUGGCGUCUCGGUGCAGGACUCGGAGCACUUUCUCUGGUUCUGCAGACCCGUAAUGAGCCUCCAGAACCUCAGGCUUGGUUUUCUCCGUCUUCAGCAUAUGGAUCACAUCUUCCCUGGCCUGUGGGUAGAGUGCAGCAAGGUCAGACAGUCGACAACAUAAAUCACAUGCCAGACUCACAAAAUCAACACAAAGCUUAUUGAACACAUCCCCAUC